rnacentral:rRNA from 1 species
UGGGGAAUAUUGCACAAUGGGGGAAACCCUGAUGCAGCGACGCCGCGUGAGCGAAGAAGGCUUUCGAGUCGUAAAGCUCUGUCCUAUGAGAAGAUAAUGACGGUAUCAUAGGAGGAAGCCCUGGCUAAAUACGUGCCAGCAGCCGCGGUAAUACGUAUGGGGCGAGCGUUGUCCGGAAUUAUUGGGCGUAAAGGGUACGUAGGUGGUUUUUUAAGUCAGGUGUCAAAGCGUGGAGCUUAACUCCGGGCGUGCAGGCGAUACGGGCUGACUUGAGUGCUGUAGGGGAGACUGGAAUUCCUGGUGUAGCGGUGAAAUGCGCAGAUAUCAGGAGGAACACCGAUGGCGAAGGCAGGUCUCUGGGCAGUAACUGACGCUGAGGAGCGAAAGCAUGGGUAGCGAACAGG